GGAAGGGAAGCGUCCCUGGUGGGGCGCCCGGGCUUCAAACCCGGUGGGCUGCGCCACGCGUGGCCGGAAGGUUCGACUCCUUCUCCUUUCCGCCA
rnacentral:tRNA from 1 species